rnacentral:lncRNA from 1 species
GCUGAUCGAUGGCUAGCGCUCUGGCUCCGCUGUGACCCAGCCCAGCAGAGGGUUCAGUGCUCAGACAGGGCAGAGGGCUAAAAGGCUCCAGCAAGCUAGAGGACCACAGAUUGACCUCUGGAACGUACCACAUAUACAGUACAUGGUUUUGUGUUUGUAAGUUAGCGCUAGCACUGGCAUUUUGGGACAUGCAGGGAAUUAAAGCAGGACUAUCAUUCACAAUAUGCCUUCCGGGUCCAGGAUUGCUGGCAAAGCUACACAUCUGGAAACACUUCACACGUUCCAAACUUGCCAAAGGUUAGGACCCCACAUAACCAGCAAAGUUUGAAACCUGGAAUGAAUGAUUGACAGCAGUUAGCAGGAGCACUGGAGCCUAUUUA